CAACCCUCAGGCCCUGCCUGGUGUUGAGGACUGCGCACGCAGCCUCCCAAAGCAAGCGGCGGCGGCGCCCCAUAACCGAACGCAGUAGUUACAUCUCGUUCUGGGUCUGGGUCGUUGUCCUGCCGGAAAACCCCCAUCUUUUUUUAAUGG
rnacentral:misc_RNA from 1 species